rnacentral:rRNA from 1 species
AUGAAUUGGAUACUUCAAGAGAAGAGAAGAGAAUUGUCAGAUAAGGAGAGGCAUGGUGUUUACUUUUCCUUGCUGGUAAUCGAGCUCAGAGAUGGGUCUAUUCAACCAGACGACAAGCUGCUAGUCUCAAACCUAUUGGACAUAAGUGUACGAUCUGUUGAAAGAAUCUGGGAACAGGCUAAAAAGCAAAUUGCCGAUGGCAAAGAAGUAGAUGUCUCAAGCAAGAAGCCAGGAAGGUCUGGCCGAAAGAGAAAGGAGCUGGAUCUAGAGAGGACCUCAACAAUCCCACUGAAUAAAAGAAGAACAAUUUGAUCUCUGGCA